AACGAACGCUGACGGCGUGCUUAACACAUGCAAGUCGAACGAGAAAGUCCCGGCUUGCCGGGAUAAGUAGAGUGGCGCACGGGUGAGUAACGCGUGGGUAAUCUGCCUUUAAGUUUGGGAUAACACUGCGAAAGCGGUACUAAUACCGGAUAUGCUCACAGUUUGAGAUGUCUGUGGGAAAAGGUGGCCUCUGACAUAAGCUACCGCUUAAAGAUGAGCCCGCGUACCAUUAGCUUGUUGGUGGGGUAAAAGCCUACCAAGGCUACGAUGGUUAGCUGGCCUGAGAGGGCGGCCAGCCACACUGGAACUGAGACACGGUCCAGACUCCUACGGGAGGCAGCAGUGGGGAAUAUUGCGCAAUGGGGGAAACCCUGACGCAGCGACGCCGUGUGAGUGAUGAAGGCUUUCGGGUCGUAAAGCUCUGUCGGAUGGGACGAAUAAGGACUGUGUGAAUAAUGCAGUCCGAUGACGGUACCGUCGAAGGAAGCACCGGCUAACUCCGUGCCAGCAGCCGCGGUAAUACGGAGGGUGCAAGCGUUGUUCGGAAUUAUUGGGCGUAAAGAACGUGUAGGCGGGCCUGUGUGUCAGAUGUGAAAGCCCUCGGCUCAACCGAGGAAGUGCAUCUGAAACUGCUGGUCUUGAGUACGAGAGAGGAGAGUGGAAUUCCCAGUGUAGAGGUGAAAUUCAUAGAUAUUGGGAAGAACACCGGCGGCGAAAGCGGCUCUCUGGCUCGAUACUGACGCUGAGACGUGAAAGCGUGGGUAGCAAACAGGAUUAGAUACCCUGGUAGUCCACGCCGUAAACGAUGUGCACUAGGUGUUGGGGGUAAUAAAACCCUCAGUGCCGCAGCUAACGCAUUAAGUGCACCGCCUGGGGAUUACGGUCGCAAGAUUAAAACUCAAAGGAAUUGACGGGGGCCCGCACAAGCGGUGGAGUAUGUGGUUUAAUUCGACGCAACGCGCAUAACCUUACCUGGGCUUGACAUCCCGAUCGUACUUCCUGGAAACAGGAGGGUCAGCUCGGCUGGAUCGGUGACAGGUGCUGCAUGGCUGUCGUCAGCUCGUGUCGUGAGA
rnacentral:rRNA from 1 species